rnacentral:lncRNA from 1 species
AGCAGUUUGGCAUUACCUAUUCUCUCAAAUGUACCUGUGGACAUUUAUGACAAAAACACUUGGUGACAACUUAGAUUUCUUCAUCUUUCAGGAGACUGACAGUCCAACUUAAGUAAAGAGCUGUUGUGAUUUCGUUAUCACAUGAUAUUGGUGAGACACAGCCAGCUCCUGGAGCAUUUUGGCUCACCAACCUGAGUAUUUUGGAAUGAAGUGACUCUAAGGAAAGGAAGGGUCUGUGCACUGAGUCUUCACUGUGCUAUCAAAGGAAGCAACUUUACUGUCAGGGAAAUUUGAGACUGUACAGAUUGACGAGGACUGCCUGUGGCAUGGAGACUGAUCGUGGCCAGGGCUUCUCUGGUCUGUACCACUCUGCUCCCCGGGCUACACUGAAGAAGCUGCAGAUUUUACAACUGCUUCUGGGCAGCCACUAUUGAUAAAGAGUUUUCCCUUUCCGUGAAAUGGCUCAGCUCAGGUGUUUUCCCCUGUCUCCUUUGCAACUCUUCAAGGAUGCUCAGUCCUAGCUGUUGGUAGUCUGUCUAAAGUCCACUCCCACUGUUACCUGGCUGUUGCCAGGAACUCCUAAUACCCUGAGCAAGUUUGAUGCACAUCAGUGCACCAAGCUGAGGCGGUUCAUUAUCCAAGAGGAGUCUGAGCGAAGAAGGCAUCUGCUUAGAAGCUGCUGUGCUCAAAAUGAGGCUUUCUCCAACGCCGCUGUCAGGGGUCCCUGUGGCAGAGAUAGAUAAAUGCAUUAAAGUCUUCUGGAGAAGUAACCAGCUCUAUUUCCAUUUGUUGAGAUUCAAGGAGAUGUGGUGUUUCAACAUUAAUCGGUUGCUGGAGGGAAAGAAGUAGUAUAGACUUUAAUGUUUUAAUU